CCUACGGGGGGCAGCAGUGGGGGAUAUUGCACAAUGGGGGAAACCCUGAUGCAGCGACGCCGCGUGGGCGAAGAAGUAUUUCGGUAUGUAAAGCCCUAUCAGCAGGGAAGAAGAAAUGACGGUACCUGAGUAAGAAGCACCGGCUAAAUACGUGCCAGCAGCCGCGGUAAUACGUAUGGUGCAAGCGUUAUCCGGAUCUACUGGGUGUAAAGGGAGCGCAGGCGGCACGGCAAGCCUGAUGUGAAAGCCCGCGGCCCAACCGCGGGACUGCAUUGGGAACUACCGGGCUGGAGUGCCGGAGAGGUAGGCGGAAUUCCUAGUGUAGCGGUGAAAUGCGUAGAUAUUAGGAGGAACACCAGUGGCGAAGGCGGCUUACUGGACUGUAACUGACGUUGAGGCUCGAAAGCGUGGGGAGCAAACAGGAUUAGAUACCCCAGUAGUC
rnacentral:rRNA from 1 species